GCACCAGCGUCUCGUGAGAACUCAAAUCGGCUGAAUGUCCCAGGCUGAAGUGAGAAGAGGGAAGUUUCCACCCUGCCCCAUGGACAUCGCUUCUGAGUGGCCUCCCUCCUGCUCACAGACACCUCUGAGAUUUCCUGGCUGACACAUCGCAUCUCCCUGUGGCCACAGCCAAGCAACACCAGAUGUCUGCAGUAGCAGCAACACUUUGGAUUCCUGAUGGAAAACCCUAAGACGAGCCUCUGUGAAAUACCUGCUUCAUUUUGGCUUCAUUUUCAUGCCUUGUUAUCUGACCCAUUUACUUCUUACCUCAGGGCACAGACCACGGCUGUGACACUCUGUAAAACCCUGUGGGAUGGGGAAAAGUAAAAAUGACACACCCCGGCCAGGCACACGCCUGUAAUCCUAGCACUUUGGGAGGCCGAGGCGGGUGGAUCACCUGAGGUCAGGAGUGCGAGACAAGCCUGGCCAACAUGGUGAAACCCCGUCUCUACUAAAAAUACAAAAAUUAGCCAGGUGUGGUAGUGGGCACCUGUAAUCCCAGCUACUCUGGAGGCUGAGACAGGAGAAUUGCUUGAACCGCGGGGACAGAGGUUGCAGUGAGCAGAGAUUGUGCCACUGCACUCCAGCCUGGUGAAAGAGUGAAACUCCAUCUUGGCGGGGGGGUGGCAGGGGGACGGAAAAAAAAAGACACAGACGUCUCAGGGCAUGGCUGCUUAGGAGGCUAUGAGGCUCUUGCCGCAAGCUUUUCCCCACUUUUCAUGGCUGCCCUCAGAGGAUAGAAUUGCCACAAUUUUAAGGAUAAAGAAACAGGCUUGGAGAGGCCAGAGGCUUGCGCAAUACCACACAAACAGGGGUGCCUUUGUGUUUCUGGGUCAAUGCUGUUUUUCACACAGACUGGACCUCGUGGGGGUCAGGAGCAGUGGGACCACCUCGUGCUCUCUCUGUGCUCAUACCUUCUCAUGGUGUCGAUCUCUCCUUGCCUCCCAGACAGAGCAACGCGUGCUUGCCACCUUGAUGGUGCAAAUGUCACUCGAUCUGAAUUUGAGGAACUGUCAUGCUGUUCCCUAAGCUUUCCUGCCAUCCCAAUCAACCAGCUAACACCACAGGAUCAAGUCUGAUUUUCAAUGUCUGUGACCCCAACUUCUGGCUGCACAUGGAAUAUACAUGGAAAAUGGAUUAAUAUUUGUUGACUGCUCACUACGUGCCAGACUUGGUGCAAAGCAUUUAAAAUAGUUCAUUAGUCACCUUCUCCAUACUUCCUGUGAUGUCCCCAAGGCUGUUCUAAAAGGAAUCCUCCUGACCCCCUGACCAUUCCUGAAGGGAGGCAAGGGGCCGGAAAGGCUUGGCAGUCCAGUUUUUUGCCUCAGCUCAUAUCAAUCAGUAAAGCUGUAUUGGUUUUACAAUUGAAGCCUUGCACAUUUCUUAUUGGACCUAUUUGUAGAUGUUUGAUCUUUCUGUGUACAGUAAAUGGGAUUUCUUUUCUGGGAUGCUUUGAAAUUGGCUAUUGCUGGUGUAUUGGAAAAUGAUUUUGUAUGUUGAUUUUUCACUUGGCAACUUUCUAUGCUCUCACUUUUAAUUCAUUUUAAAAUUUAUUCUCUUUGAUUUUCUUAGUAGGUAAUCAUGUAGCUGAUAAUGAUAAUUUUUUCAGAGCCAUAUUAAAAUACAAUUCACAUACUGUUACGGGAUCCUUGGAGUGUCAUUUUUCUUGCCAGAAACCUCUGUGGCCGGUGGUGUCUUUGUCCAAGUUUUGCUCAGGCCUGCUGGGCUCAUUCUGCUCACUCAACCUGGCACACUGCGCUCAGCUCAUCCUACCAGCCUGGAUCCCACACCUGCCAAGGGCAAGUCAGGCAUGGAGUGGCGAGGGGUGUGUGAGCAAGCAUGGGGUCUGGCUACUGAUCAGUCAGACACGCCGGCUGCUGCAGCAGGGUGGGCAGUUCCAGGUGCCAGUGUGGGCUCUCUGCGAGGCCAUGGCUGGACCAGGCACACUGCAAGCAGUUUCCACAGCUGGCACCAGGGAACGUGGGGUGCCUGGAAACUUGGAGAUGCCAAGAACCACAGGGGCCCAAAGAGGGAGUCACAGUCCUGACUUGGGGAGCUCCCAGGUCUGGGCUCCCUGAAGGGCCACAGCUCUCUCUCCUCUUCACCUGCAACGUGGUGAGCAAGAUGGGUAUCUCAGUCCUGUUUGUGUUCCAGCUGUUUUAGCCCCACCAUUUGAUGGGUCCCAAGUUCUUGUCCUGCGACCAGGAAGAAUGAGGUACACAGAAAAGUGGAGAGUGAACAAGACAAAGGGGAGAUUUGAGUGAUAGAACAGCUUUGAGGAGACCCGCAGUGGGUAGCUCCUCUCCGCAGCCAGGGUGUCCUGACGAGUGUUCAGCUUUUUGCAGAGAGGAGACCCUGGAGUGGGAAGCUUCUCUCUGGAGACAGGUCAUCCCAUCAUCUCUGCAGCCAGAGAGAAGCCAGGCAGUGGGAGCAGGCACUUCUGAGCCUGUGAGGGCAGGGUGUGCCUUCCUGGGCUCCCAAGAGUGCAGAGAUGCCUGGGUCUGCGGUUGCAGUUGGGGCAGCUGCAACUGUGCCUGGGGAGCGGGUCUCCUGCCUGCUCUGUGGAGCCAGAGGCUCGGGUCUGCAGGGACAACUUUGGCAGCUGCAGCUACACCCAGGAGAGUGCAUCUCCUCCCUGCUCCCAGCCCCGAGAGUAUAGGGAUGCCCAGGUCCACAGCCAUGGAUUGGGCAGCUGCAGCAGCAUCCAGGCAGCUCCUGCCUCAACACAGAAGGAGCGGGUCUCCCGCUUGUCCCUAGCUCCUGCUGGCUCAAUAGAGUGCAGCCCCAGCCAUGCCUCACUGCUGAAGCCAGCGUGAUGACAGCAGCUGCUCCAUAUGGCCUGCCACUGCCAUCAAUACCAUAGGAUUCACCCUUUUAAAGGAUAUAAUUUAAUGAUUUUUAAUAUGUUCAGAGUUGGGC
rnacentral:lncRNA from 10 species